CUACGUGCCAGCAGCCGCGGUAAUACGUAGGGCGCGAGCGUUGUCCGGAAUUAUUGGGCGUAAAGAGCUUGUAGGCGGUUUGUCGCGUCUGCUGUGAAAGGCCGGGGCUUAMCCCCGUGUAUUGCAGUGGGUACGGGCAGACUAGAGUGCAGUAGGGGAGACUGGAAUUCCUGGUGUAGCGGUGGAAUGCGCAGAUAUCAGGAGGAACACCGAUGGCGAAGGCAGGUCUCUGGGCUGUAACUGACGCUGAGAAGCGAAAGCAUGGGGAGCGAACAGGAUUAGAUACCCUGGUAGUCCAUGCCGUAAACGUUGGGCACUAGGUGUGGGGGACAUUCCACGUUUUCCGCGCCGUAGCUAACGCAUUAAGUGCCCCGCCUGGGGAGUACGGCCGCAAGGCUAAAACUCAAAGAAAUUGACGGGGGCCCGCACAAGCGGCGGAGCAUGCGGAUUAAUUCGAUGCAACGCGAAGA
rnacentral:rRNA from 1 species